rnacentral:lncRNA from 1 species
CAAGGCUUCCCGGCCGCCUGCAGCCCGCCCUCAGGGGACGGAGCGCAGGGCUGGACAGGCGGCACCCGCAUCCUGGCCGGAGUUCAGCUGUCUCUCGGGUGGGAGUGGAGGAAGGGCGCGCUGGGCAGAGGCCCUUUCUCAACCAACAGAUCUCCACAACUUCUGGUAACAGUGGUCAAAACAUACAAACUCCUCAGACUAUCUGGUGAAACUCCAUCAAGAACAGGAGAAUUCCUACCAGCUCCAAUUUAAAUAAUUUACUGUAUAUAUAUAUGUCAAGAUUGAUUAAAAUGUCCACUAGAAAUCUUCAGAACAGACCUAUGUUACUCUCCAAGGCAUUUGGGUGUCAGAGUAUGUUUCUUCUGAAUUGUACUGAAAGCAACCAUGAAGUAAGAAAAAGCAGCUCCUACCUGUGCAAGUUAACAGUCUUUGCACAGUGAAGCAGUGAGUCUCACGUACAUG